rnacentral:rRNA from 1 species
AUGGUUGAUGAUGUAAGACUUAUGCAUGAGAUGGGUUUAGACGCGUACAGGUUCUCCAUUGCAUGGCCCCGGCUUAUACCAGAUGGAAGAGGAGAGAUCAAUCUGAAGGGCCUGGAGUACUACAGUAACUUAAUAGAUGAAUUGAUACGUCACGGCAUACAACCUCAUGUCACAAUCUACCAUUUAGACCUCCCUCAGUCCCUUCAGGACGAAUACAAUGGACUGCUCAGCCCCAGAUUCAUAGACGAUUACACAGCGUAUGCUGAAGCCUGCUUCAAGAGCUUCGGUGACAGGGUGAAGCACUGGGUCACCGUCAACGAGCCCAACAUAGAGACCAUCGGAGGCUUCGACAACGGCCGGCUUCCACCGCAGCGCUGCUCCCAUCCCUUCGGCGAGAACUGCACCAGAGGGGAUUCUACGACGGAGCCGUAUGUAGCCGCCCACCACCUCCUGCUCGCACAUGCCUCGGCAGUGCGCCUGUAUAGAGACAACUACCAGGCAACUCAAAGAGGACAGAUAGGGAUCACUCUCUUGGGCUGGUGGCAUGAGCCUGCUACCAACUCAUCGCAGGAUGCAGCGGCUGCAACGAGGAUGAACGACUUCCACAUUGGAUGGUUUAUGCAUCCUUUGGUGUAUGGGGACUACCCUACUCUGAUGAGGAGCAGGGCAGGAGCACGGCUGCCGUAUUUAACAGUGGAGCAGUCUAAGAAUUUGCGUGGAGCAUUCGACUUCAUCGGCAUCAAUCACUACCUCGUUGUUCGCACGCGAGCCCACGACAGCACUUUCAAUCUGGAGCAGAGAGACUACUAUGCUGACGCAUCUGCCAUUGCAAAUCCAUUCGAAGAUAUGCAAGCGGGACGUCUUGAGUAUGCUCCUUGGGCUCUAGGGAAGCUACUGGACCACCUGAAACUCAAGUACGGAAAUCCUCCAAUCUUGAUCCAUGAAAACGGAAAGAUCGUAUACGAGGACGACAACAGAUCAGAGUUCCUGCAAGAUUAUCUGGAAGUUCUCUAUCUGUCCAUAAGGAACGGAUCGGACGCGCGGGGAUACUUCGUGUGGUCUUUCCUCGACGUGUUUGAGUUGCUGUUUGGCUACCGUUCACGCUUUGGUCUGUGCGGCGUCGACAUGAACAUCAAGGAGAGGCCAAGAUACGUGAGGAGCUCUGCCCGCUGGUACUCCGGCUUCCUCAACGGCGGCGAGCUGCGGCCGUCCGGGAGAGCCUACAGAGCUGCAUGA